CAAUGUGAUACAUAUAUAAUCUUUUGUCAUGUUCAUCUUCUACUUUGAAAUUUCAAUUCAAACCACCUCAAAACUCUACCAAAUCCUCCCAAAAUUGAGAUUCAAACUCCUUAAGAUGUACCCAAUCUAUUCCAACAACAUACACUCAAAAGAAAUGUCACGACCCAAAUUCUCCCUCCGUGAAUUAUCGUGACGACACCUAGUCUCUACAACUAGGUAAGCCUAACAUUUGCGGAAAAGAAAUGGAAAACAUAAAAGUUAAGAAUUAACAGUAACAGAUAAUUUAAAUAAGCAAAUGAGAUGCCGCUCGGCACGUACAAUAAUCAACUCUCAAAAUAUACACAACUCUCCCAAGACCCGGAACACCGUAAGUCACAAGCUUCUAAGAAUUUCUAACUGUCUAUACAUCAGUAUAUAAAGAAAUAAGAGAAGAAUCAACAUAAGAGAAUAAAGGGGGACUCCGAGCUCUGCGGACGCGGGCAUGUGUACCUUGAAGUCUCCUGAACAGCAGCAACCGUGCAACUAAACUCGAGGCUGGUAGGAGGUACCUGGGUCUACACAAGAAAAAUAUGUGCAGAAGAGGCAUGAGUACACCACAACGGUACCCAGUAAGUGCCAAGCCUAACCUCGAUCGAGUAGUGACGAGGUCAGGUAAGGGCUCUACUGGUAUAAAUAUAUAAAGUAAGACAGAACAAAAAUAUCGCAGUAAAAUAAAGACUGGAAUUUAAACGGAAGAAAAUCACAGCAAGGAUAACAGUACAGUAUCACAUUCCUUUUUUUCACCUCACUAACCCUCUUAAAAAUAAUAAAAAAUUUGUAAAGCUCAAAAGGGUUUUCAAUUAGAAGGUGACAAAAAUUUGUGUUCAAAAGAUUUUCAGAGUCGCCAACUGACAUUUGAUUUCGGUGUGUCAGGUCACCGAUUUUAGAAUCAUGUGUUCUUUUGAAGCACGUUUAGACUCUAAAACUGAUGGCACCAGAGAUUCAAGGUAAGGGGGUUCAUUUGACUCGGGGAGAAGGUGUUGGACAUUCUCUAAGUCCCGUGAAAAUCACGAUUGCAUACUCGAUCUGAUUGGCUUUUAAAAUAUUCAAGAGGCUCAAGGUCGUCCUCACUUAAACGAAAGAAAAUAAAAUAAAAAAAUUAAAGUAAAAUCCUAAAUACUAAUAUAUACUAUACUUUCCCACGAAGUUCCUCAUAGCCUCCAAAUACAUGAUACUACGGGGUAUACCCCGGAUAAAAAUAUAUACAAAAUAUAUGGGGUAUUCCUCUGAAUAUAAACUAAAGGUUGCGACCUCUUACCUCGAAUAAAAAUAAGACAAAAAACAUAAGGUUUGCCUACCCGAGUGUGGUCGGCCUAAACAUGCUCCUAACGGGAAAUGUCGAACAAAAAUAUUAAUCUAAACUAUGACUCUAUUGAAAAAAUUGGUAUGGUAAAAACAAUAAUCCGAAACUUAAACCCGUCAAAGGCUAUGAUCGUGUAAAGCUUAAAAUGUCUGCCAAACAUUCAUUUUAAUUUUAUUUUUAGCCCAAACCACUAUUUCCUUUUAGGCAGCCUAUAUCUCCAUGCUAAGCUUACCACUUGAAUAUACUGAUUUCAAAUAACACUAUUAAAGGACAAACAUGAAUAAAUUAAUCCAAAAAUAAUAACAAACUCAUCAAGAAUACAAAUUCAUUCAAGUCAAAAAAUACUAAGGUGGAAUACCAAAACUUCUUGAACUAAUUAAAGAAGAGGGAUAAGAAAUGGACCUCAAGAUGUGAUACCCUUUUAGUUACAGCAAAAGUGAUACGAACAAGAACCAGAAUCGGAAAAACUCGAGCACCAGAAUGACCUCAAUCAAACCCUUCGGAUUCCAUGACGAAACUUUUUCAGAAAUGGAAAUACAUCCCUAUUUUAUGGAUUUUUUUUAAGACUUAAACUUCUCUGCUUCGUGACAAUUCGUCUUCUCGCUCAUUCAGUCAUUGUUUCCGCCCUUCCUGUGUUUGUUGUUCUUUUCCCGUUCCCCUCUUGAACUUCGUUACUAUCUCACACCUCAAGGAUUUUCUCAACUUCCACUUUGUUUAUUUUUGAUACUAUUCUAGAUUUUCAUCCCCUAAUCCAAUAACUCAGUAUUAUCAAAAACUUGAAGUCAACUUCAAAUUCCUAAUGACAGCAGCUAGAAAGUUAUCACCAUGGCUUCCUCCCCUUUUGGUUCUCUCACUGUAUGCCUCCCUCUAUCUAUGUCUAUGUGUGUGUGGCUUCCUCGUCCCCUUUUUUGGUGCAGGUUCGGCUGAUUGAAGGGAGGUGGGGUUCGUUCGUUGGUUCUCUUAUGGGUCUUAGGUUGGGCUGUUGCUAGUCUUAGUUUUUUAGAUAAGGGAGUGUGGUUGGAGAGUUUUGUGAAGGAAGUAGGGCGACUGAGAGAGGUUUUUGGAGAGGAGGUGGGGCGGCAGAGGGGAGAUGGCUGAUGGCUCUAAGGGUUCCUAGGGUUAGUGGAAUUAGGUCUCUUUUUAGUGAAAUGAGAGUAUAGGCUAAGGGCUUAAUUUCAAAAUUGGCUUAAAAAAUGGAUUGUUUUAGCCCAAAUUUAAUUCUUUCUCAUUGAACAAGACUAAAAAUACUACCCAAUACUAAUUAAUCCUACUUAAGCAGAAAUAACUAUUAAAAUAAAACUAACUGUUAAAACAAACUUAUUUUUGAUAUUUUUCAAAUAUCAUACUGAAAAAUAAAAAUGGGAUUAUAUUAAAAUC
rnacentral:lncRNA from 1 species